rnacentral:rRNA from 1 species
CCUACGGGAGGCAGCAGUGGGGGAUAUUGCACAAUGGGGGGAACCCUGAUGCAGCGACGCCGCGUGGGUGAAGAAGCGCCUCGGCGCGUAAAGCCCUGUCAGCAGGGAAGAAAAUGACGGUACCUGAAGAAGAAGCCCCGGCUAACUACGUGCCAGCAGCCGCGGUAAUACGUAGGGGGCAAGCGUUAUCCGGAUUUACUGGGUGUAAGGGGGGCGCAGGCGGCGAUGCAGGCCAGGAGUGAAAGCCCGGGGCUCAACCCCGGGACUGCUCUGGGAACUGGGUGGGCGGAGUGCAGGAGGGGCAGGCGAAAGUCCUGGUGUAGCGGGGAAAUGAGUAGAUAUCAGGAGGAACACCGGUGGCGAGGCGGCCUGCUGGACUGCAACUGACGUUGAGGCCCGAAAGCGUGGGGAGCAAACAGGAUUAGAUACCCUGGUAGUC